CGCGGAUACAGCGGUGAGCCACGUCCCAAAGUGAAGCUACCUAAGAAAAGGAAAGAGGAAACCGAAAGCUCCGCAAGAUGAAUGUCCGCAGUGUUUCUCUCCUGUUUCUUUCAGCCGCUAUCGCGAGAGCACAUCCAAGAUACCGGAUCAACGCUGUUUACAAAAGUGCGCAGCAAUGGCCUGGUCCCGUAAUCCAGAUUCCAACGCUGCCACCUUUCUUUGGAAACCCAGUAGCUGGACGGCCAGCUUUUGGAAGCCAAUGGCCACCAUCAUUUUCACAUUACAAGGCCAACAAUGGCAACAGCGGAAUAUCGAGUUCAGCAAUGCAGCAACUACCAUCCUUGCGCAACAAUCCUGGUAACAAUCAACAGGGUCCACUCAGACCCAGAUGGACACCCUUCUCGCCUUUCGGGAACAAUGGUUACAACCCACAAGGAAGCCAGCAACCCCAAUGGCCAUACCAGCGUGCACCUGGUUCUGAGGGUGACAGCCAAAUACUGCCAGGAUUCCGAAGCCCGCUGCCCCCUUUUCCCACGAACAUCAUUGGAAAUAGGAAAGCAGGUCAAGUUAGUUUCUCUUGGACACCCCCGCCAAUUCCCCAGGGAAAUAAUGGCCGAAACCAAGGUAGCAUACCCGGACUUCGAAGUCCACCUGGCUUCCAAAGUGGUUAAAGAGAGAAGAUUUCAGUGCCGAAAUUUAUUAAGAUCUCCACCGCCGUUUUUCCAGUAUACCAGCGGCAGUGGUCUUGGGACCCCGAAACCACAUCCAUUUGAGGGUAACGAUGAAAACAAACACGGGAGAUAUGUGAAAAAUGAAGGCCAACGCUCACUUCUCAGAGGAAAUAUUGAUCAAGGAAGCCAAGGAAAUAAGGAGCUGCGGGCACCCUCAGCAACUGCAUUUAUAGAGUUAAAAUGCAAAA
rnacentral:lncRNA from 1 species